rnacentral:tRNA from 1 species
GGUGUGUUGGCUCAGUAGUUAGAGCUUCGACCUCGUAACCGAAAGCUCCCGGGAUCGAAUCCCGCUAGCGGCU